rnacentral:rRNA from 1 species
AUUGAACGCUGGCGGCAGGCUUAACACAUGCAAGUCGAGCGGGGAAAAGUAGCUUGCUACUGGACCUAGCGGCGGACGGGUGAGUAAUGCUUAGGAAUCUGCCUAUUAGUGGGGGACAACAUCUCGAAAGGGAUGCUAAUACCGCAUACGUCCUACGGGAGAAAGCAGGGGACCUUCGGGCCUUGCGCUAAUAGAUGAGCCUAAGUCGGAUUAGCUAGUUGGUGGGGUAAAGGCCUACCAAGGCGACGAUCUGUAGCGGGUCUGAGAGGAUGAUCCGCCACACUGGGACUGAGACACGGCCCAGACUCCUACGGGAGGCAGCAGUGGGGAAUAUUGGACAAUGGGGGGAACCCUGAUCCAGCCAUGCCGCGUGUGUGAAGAAGGCCUUUUGGUUGUAAAGCACUUUAAGCGAGGAGGAGGCUACCGAGAUUAAUACUCUUGGAUAGUGGACGUUACUCGCAGAAUAAGCACCGGCUAACUCUGUGCCAGCAGCCGCGGUAAUACAGAGGGUGCAAGCGUUAAUCGGAUUUACUGGGCGUAAAGCGCGCGUAGGUGGCCAAUUAAGUCAAAUGUGAAAUCCCCGAGCUUAACUUGGGAAUUGCAUUCGAUACUGGUUGGCUAGAGUAUGGGAGAGGAUGGUAGAAUUCCAGGUGUAGCGGUGAAAUGCGUAGAGAUCUGGAGGAAUACCGAUGGCGAAGGCAGCCAUCUGGCCUAAUACUGACACUGAGGUGCGAAAGCAUGGGGAGCAAACAGG